AGAGUUUGAUCCUGGCUCAGAUUGAACGCUGGCGGAAUGCUUUACACAUGCAAGUCGAACGAUGAAGUCUAGCUUGCUAGACGGAUUAGUGGCGAACGGGUGAGUAAUAUAUCGGAACGUAUCCAUUAAUGGGGGAUAACUAGUCGAAAGAUUGGCUAAUACCGCAUACGUCCUACGGGAGAAAGUUAGGGACCUUCGGGCCUGGCGUUAAUGGAGCGGCCGAUAUCUGAUUAGCUAGUUGGUGAGGUAAAGGCUCACCAAGGCGACGAUCAGUAGCUGGUCUGAGAGGACGACCAGCCACACUGGAACUGAGACACGGUCCAGACUCCUACGGGAGGCAGCAGUGGGGAAUUUUGGACAAUGGGCGCAAGCCUGAUCCAGCCAUUCCGCGUGAGUGAAGAAGGCCUUCGGGUUGUAAAGCUCUUUCGCAAGGAAAGAAAACUUAGCCACUAAUACUGGCUGAGGAUGACGGUACCUUGAUAAGAAGCACCGGCUAACUACGUGCCAGCAGCCGCGGUAAUACGUAGGGUGCGAGCGUUAAUCGGAAUUACUGGGCGUAAAGCGUGCGCAGGCGGUUUCGUAAGUCAGAUGUGAAAUCCCCGGGCUCAACCUGGGAACUGCGUUUGAAACUGCGAGGCUAGAGUGUAGAAGAGGGGGGUAGAAUUCCACGUGUAGCAGUGAAAUGCGUUGAGAUGUGGAGGAAUACCGAUGGCGAAAGCAGCCCCCUGGGCUAACACUGACGCUCAUGCACGAAAGCGUGGGGAGCAAACAGGAUUAGAUACCCUGGUAGUCCACGCCCUAAACGAUGUCUACUAGUUGUUGGUGGAGUAAAAUCCAUUAGUAACGCAGCUAACGCGUGA
rnacentral:rRNA from 1 species